AUUGAACGCUGGCGGCAGGCCUAACACAUGCAAGUCGAACGAGUGGCGGACGGGUGAGUAAUGUCUGGGAAACUGCCCGAUGGAGGGGGAUAACUACUGGAAACGGUAGCUAAUACCGCAUACCAUCGGAUGUGCCCAGAUGGGAUUAGCUAGUAGGUGGGGUAACGGCUCACCUAGGCGACGAUCCCUAGCUGGUCUGAGAGGAUGACCAGGCACACUGGAACUGAGACACGGUCCAGACUCGUACGGGGGGCAGCAGUGGGGAAUAGUGCACAGUGAGCGCGAGCGUGAUGCAGCCAUGCCGCGUGUAUGAAGAAGGCCUUCGGGUUGUAAACCGCUUUCGGCCAUGACGCGGUAGUGGCAGAAGAAGCACCGGCUAACUACGUGCCAGCAGCCGCGGUAAUAC
rnacentral:rRNA from 1 species